GCCGAUGUAGCUCAGUUGGUAGAGCACGUCCUUGGUGGGCCGCAGAGCCCCGCCCACUGCGUCGGAAGGCGUAUGUGAAUCCCGAAUAACGGUCAAUAUCCGCGAGGACAAGACCGUGGCACGAGUAAUCGGGCCCGAACGACUGACAAGGGUCUCCUUAGGGAGAAAGAUACAGUCUAGCCCUUCCGUAUAUCUAAAGGGAAGGUAUAAGCGAAGGACGAGGUCACCGGUUCAAUCCCGGUCGUCGGCU
rnacentral:tRNA from 1 species